rnacentral:misc_RNA from 1 species
UCCGGUUUAUCACCGGCAGUCUUCCUAGAGUUCCCGGCCGAACCGCUGGCGACUAGGGACAAGGGUUGCGCUCGUUGCGGGACUUAACCCAACAUCUCACGACACGAGCUGACGACAACCAUGCACCACCUGUGAACCGGCCCCAAAGGGGAAACCACAUCUCUGCGGCGAUCCGGCCCAUGUCAAGCCUUGGUAAGGUUCUUCGCGUUGCAUCGAAUUAAUCCGCAUGCUCCGCCGCUUGUGCGGGCCCCCGUCAAUUCCUUUGAGUUUUAGCCUUGCGGCCGUACUCCCCAGGCGGGGUGCUUAAUGCGUUUGCGACGGCACGGAAGGGGUUGAUGCCUCCCACACCUAGCACCCAACGUUUACGGCUGGGACUAC